rnacentral:sRNA from 1 species
CGACCCUUAAUUAAGCCGAGGGUCACCUAGCCAACUGACGUUGUUAGUGAACCCAUUUUGUUCACACUUAUAGCGGCCAAUCUCACUUCUUGAGGUUGGCCUUUUUGUU